rnacentral:pre_miRNA from 1 species
UGUAAACAUCCUACACUCUCAGCUUUGGCAAGUAAAGAGGCUGGGAGAGGGGUGUUUGCG